UCGUUAUGCAAUUUUAUGUUAUAUAAAAUACAAACAAAAUGUCGUCUUUUGAUUUCUCUGUAUUCUUCAGAGGAGGAUUCUUGGGGAAGAUCUCUGGCUAUGCCCUGUGAACUUCGGGGCUCACUGGAUUUUAGUGGUAUUUACUAUAGGACUACGUUAAUUAACCUUUCUUUACUUGUGUUAUCGUGUGCUUUUAUAAUUCAUGUAAUUAUGUUACAUAUACAGAUAUUUACCUACAUCCCUCUGACACCGCAGAACACACCUGCUGUAUACACCAAUAAUAUGAAUGUCAUAAAGAAAAUGUUGUGUUUUCCCGAAUUAUCUUUUAGAUUGUCAUCAUGUCGAAGAAGGUUAUUGUGCUAAUUGACCCACUGGGAAAUGAACCUGAUUAUCUAUUGACAGUACAGCACAACUGGAGUAUGUUCUUGAAGAAGUAUAUUCCUGAAGAAGUAGCCCAAUGGAAUAUCCAUGUAAUGCACCACAGCAACCAGGAGGUUCCAGCAGCUGUGGAGUUUUGAUCUUGAUGUUUGCCAAGGAGUUUCUUCAGACCAGAACCAUACAUGCAGUGAAGACCUCUGCAGAAGAUGUAGCUAAUGCACGACUGGAAAUAUCUUCUGCCCUACUCCAGUAUAAAGUUCCAGAAGGAAGGAGCAAACCCAUUUGAGGAGUCCCUGCAUAAGAGACUAUUGGAUACUGAAGGGCUGUACUACAGUGGCGGCUCUAGACUUGGCAAGGCCUUAGUCGAAACUCAUACAUGAGGCCACCACAAACACCAUUAUUGGGAAAAAAAAAAAAAAAAUAGCAGUUGACUUUGUGUAUAAGAAGCUGUAGAUAUGUUGAUAGGGGAGCUUCCAGCACUGGAUACAGAGAGCUAGUCUCUGUUUACAUUGUUGCAUUGUCUACCUGAGUGUGUGUGUCUGGCAGUGAGUAUGCUUGUAUCUGUAUGUAUGUUUCUCUGAGCAAGUGUAUGUUUGUGUACGGCCUUUGGCACUGAGUUUAUGGCGAAGCUCUGUUUUAUGACAGUGGGUAUAAUGAUUGCCUUCAGGGGGUGGCAGGGUGAGUGUAAAAGAGCAGGAGGGUGCCAGAGUGUUGACAGUGUGUAUGGAGGGAGGUGCCAAAGUGCGGAGAGUGGUGCCCGUGUGAGAAUAGAUG